AUCAUUGUAGCUUACCACUGGUAC
rnacentral:siRNA from 1 species